AGAGUUUGAUCCUGGCUCAGGACGAACGCUGGCGGCGUGCCUAAUACAUGCAAGUCGAACGAACUCUGGUAUUGAUUGGUGCUUGCAUCAUGAUUUACAUUUGAGUGAGUGGCGAACUGGUGAGUAACACGUGGGAAACCUGCCCAGAAGCGGGGGAUAACACCUGGAAACAGAUGCUAAUACCGCAUAACAACUUGGACCGCAUGGUCCGAGUUUGAAAGAUGGCUUCGGCUAUCACUUUUGGAUGGUCCCGCGGCGUAUUAGCUAGAUGGUGAGGUAACGGCUCACCAUGGCAAUGAUACGUAGCCGACCUGAGAGGGUAAUCGGCCACAUUGGGACUGAGACACGGCCCAAACUCCCUCGGGAGGCAGCAGUAGGGAAUCUUCCACAAUGGACGAAAGUCUGAUGGAGCAACGCCGCGUGAGUGAAGAAGGGUUUCGGCUCGUAAAACUCUGUUGUUAAAGAAGAACAUAUAUGAGAGUAACUGUUCAGGUAUUGACGGUAUUUAACCAGAAAG
rnacentral:rRNA from 2 species